rnacentral:rRNA from 1 species
AACUUUUAACAACGGAUCUCUUGGUUCUCGCAUCGAUGAAGAACGUAGCAAAGUGCGAUAACUAGUGUGAAUUGCAUAUUCAGUGAAUCAUCGAGUCUUUGAACGCAUCUUGCACCUGCUAGUAUUCCAGCAGGUACGCCUGUUUCAGUAUCAGA